rnacentral:ncRNA from 5 species
UACAGUAUAGAUGAUGUAC